GGUCUAGGAGGAGUUCGAAAAAGUAGGUUUUCAACAUUAAUCAAAAUGGCGGACAGGAAGUUCAGCCAAAUAAGGAAAACUUGAUAUCUAUGUUCUCGGCUUGACCCAAGGAAUCUAUUAAGAUCAGCGUCAUGUCAAUAGCCAGAUCUUUUCAAAAGUUAUUAGCCUUUAUGUAAAUUGAGUUAUAACUUUUGACCACUAGGUGGCGCUGUUUCAAAAUAUUUUGAGUACCUUCAGGGGAUGGUGUUGUUGGCACAUUCUGAGUUUCGUAACAUUACACCAAUGCAUUUGUUUAGUAUAGCAUUUUAUUUCACAAAACUAUAUUGAAGUCAAUGAGAAUUUCAUGUUUUGUUCUAUUAUAGCGCCACCAAGAGGCUCAGUCCCACCAUUUUUUUUAUGUUUGCUCAGAGUGAGCCCAUACAUAUGUGUGUCAAUUUUGGUGAAAAUAUCUCAAUUCACUUCAGAGUUAUAGACAUUUAUAUGAAAAAGCACGUAAAAAAUGACUGACUCUUGACUUUGAUUGAAUAUUACUACCCCUUACUAUCAAUAUUUUGGCAUUUGGGCAUUGGCUUAUAGCUAUCGACCUAUGUUUCCGAACUUCUGAUGGUGGUUUCGUCUCGAUCAGACAAGCGGUUUCGAAGAUAUAGCCAAAUGUUUUUUAAGCGCUAAAUCAUAACGCUACACAAACCGUAAGGCGAAACCUAGCAUGUUUGGUAUCGUAGGACUCGGAAAGGUUUCAGGAGUCCAAUUUAAUGAGUCUGGUGAAAAUAAGUCGACCACACCCAAAGUUAUAAGCAUUUUAAAAAAGAAGAUCACCACUAGGUGGCGCUGUUUCGAAACUUCUCACGCUCCUUCAGGACAUUGUGCUGAUGACCCAUACCAAGUUUCGUAACAAUCCGUUGAUGUGUUCUUAAAAUACAGCAUUUUAGCACAAAAUUCAAAAUGGCCGACAGUCAAAAUGGCCAAAAUGGUAAUAUUGGAUAUCAGUCGACUUGGCAUGUAGCCCUGAAUCUAACAAGACAAAUGUUAUGAUUUUUGGACAAACUGUUCAAAAGUUAUAAGCAAAAAUAGCAAUUUUUCAUAUCUCUGGACCAGUAGGUGGCGCUGCGCCGAAACACAGCAUGUAGCCUCAGGUCAUGCUUGUUAUGACAUGUACCAAGUUUGGUCAGAAUAGAAUAAAUCGUUGCAUAGAUACAGCCUUACGACUGUUUUUGCAAGCGUUACGUAAAAUUUGUUUGAGCGUUUAUCGAAAACGGUUUGACAAAUCAAUUUGAUUUGCAUAACUUUUGGUCAGCACUGACUGAAGAUGAUCUGGUUCAAUUUUCGUGUGAAUCGGACAAACCGUCUAGGACGAGUUCGAAAAAGUAGGUUUUUAAAGAAAUUCAAAAUGGCGGCCACAUUUCUAUGACGGAAAAUGAUUUGCUAUGGUGCAAUCGAAUCGGCAUGAGCUCAGAAAUCAGAUGAAAAAAGAAUUUUGAUGAUUGGCCUUACGGUCAAAAAGUUAUUAACAAAAUUAAAGUGAAAUUUUGGACAGUUGGUGGCGCUAGAGGGAAUGUCUUAGACACACCAAAAUUGGUGUACUUAAUGUUGGCACUGUCCUCUAUAAGAAUGUCAAACCAUUACAACUUUCCCGCAUUCGGUUCUAUGGGCUGCCAUAGACCCCCAGUCGGAAGAAUAAUAAUAAUAAUAAUAAUAAUAAGAACGCCAACAAAAACAAGAGGGUCCUACGCACCUUCGGUGCUUGGCCCCUAAUAACGCCAACGGAAACAAUAGGUGCCUACGCACCUUCGGUGCUUGGCCCCUAAAUAUAGCUGCAAGCAGCAAUCACGGGGCCAAGCAUUCCAGCGGCAACAUCAGGAGCUAAGCAUAUGUAGCAUCAGACCAAAUGCAACAAUGAAUAAUGAAAUUAAUAAUUGCAUGAUUGUAAUUGAAAUGGCUGAAAAUCGUUAAUAAAAGUUCCACAGCGAGGAGCUAAGCAUGGCAUGGUGCAUCAGACCAAAUGCAACGAGUAAGAAAAGCAAUUAUUGGAAGAGUGUAAUUGAAACAGCCAGUAAAACUCCAGUAAAAUGAUGCAUUAUCAUUUUUGGAAAAUAGGUGGCGCUGUAAUCAAAUCGCUUUGUUGUGUUCUGUGGGAGGUGACAAUGUUGUGGGCAAUUUCUUUCAAAAUACUUACAGACCUUUAGGGCAAUGAGUCGAACAUGCCCACCGAGUUUCGUUCCGAUCGACUUCCAUUAACCUUGUCAAAUAGGUGCUUAAAGUUGUUUGGCCAAUGGCGGCCAUGUUUUUUAAGAUAAGUGAAAUUCCUCAUAGAGCACUUAUGCCACAUUGGGCCAUACCAAUUUUCAAGUUGAUUGGAUCAGCGGUUGCUUAGU